rnacentral:rRNA from 1 species
AUUGAACGCCGGCGGCAUGCUUUACACAUGCAAGUCGAGCGGCAGCGCGGGGGCAACCCUGGCGGCGAGCGGCGAACGGGUGAGUAAUGCAUCGGAACGUAUCCUCGAGUGGGGGAUAACCCAGCGAAAGUUGGGCUAAUACCGCAUGAGCUCUGAGGAGGAAAGCGGGGGACCUGCGAGGGCCUCGCGCUGGAGGAGCGGCCGAUGUCCGAUUAGCUAGUUGGUGGGGUAAAGGCUUACCAAGGCGACGAUCGGUAGCUGGUCUGAGAGGAUGAUCAGCCACACUGGGACUGAGACACGGCCCAGACUCCUACGGGAGGCAGCAGUGGGGAAUUUUGGACAAUGGGGGCAACCCUGAUCCAGCCAUGCCGCGUGAGUGAAGAAGGCCUUCGGGUUGUAAAGCUCUUUCGGACGGAACGAAAUGGGCGGGACUAAUACUCCUGUCUGAUGACGGUACCGUAAGAAGAAGCACCGGCUAACUACGUG